UACGUAGGGUGCAAGCGUUGUCCGGAAUUAUUGGGCGUAAAGAGCUCGUAGGCGGUCCGUCACGUCGGCUGUGAAAACCCGGGGCUCAACUCCGGGCCUGCAGUCGAUACGGGCGGACUAGAGUACUGCAGGGGAGACUGGAAUUCCUGGUGUAGCGGUGAAAUGCGCAGAUAUCAGGAGGAACACCGGUGGCGAAGGCGGAUCUCUGGGCCUUGCCUGACGCUGAGGCGCGAAAGCUAGGGGAGCGAACAGG
rnacentral:rRNA from 1 species